rnacentral:tRNA from 1 species
GGUGUAGUUCAGUGGUAAAGAACAUGCAUUUAAUAUGCAAGAGACCCUGGGUUCAAUCCCCAGUACC